CCUACGGGGGGCAGCAGUGGGGAAUAUUGCACAACGGGCGCAAGCCUGAUGCAGCCAUGCCGCGUGUGUGAAGAAGGCCUUCGGGUUGUAAAGCACUUUCAGCGGGGAGGAAGGCGGUGAGGUUAAUAACCUCAUCGAUUGACGUUACCCGCAGAAGAAGCACCGGCUAACUCCGUGCCAGCAGCCGCGGUAAUACGGAGGGUGCAAGCGUUAAUCGGAAUUACUGGGCGUAAAGCGCACGCAGGCGGUCUGUCAAGUCGGAUGUGAAAUCCCCGGGCUCAACCUGGGAACUGCAUUCGAAACUGGCAGGCUAGAGUCUUGUAGAGGGGGGUAGAAUUCCAGGUGUAGCGGUGAAAUGCGUAGAGAUCUGGAGGAAUACCGGUGGCGAAGGCGGCCCCCUGGACAAAGACUGACGCUCAGGUGCGAAAGCGUGGGGAGCAAACAGGAUUAGAUACCCCUGUAGUC
rnacentral:rRNA from 1 species